GUUGGCCAUUAGCCAAUCAGCGUUUCUAAACGAGUUCAAAGCACGUGAAUGCGUCACUGGUAAAUUCCCACCUCCAUCUUGGUUAUGAAGGCAGCAUCAGUUGUGGUGUAUUGGCCACAUACCACCCCCCCCAGCCCUUAUUGUUUAAAUAAUAUACUGAACAUGCCUUAGACAUGCCUUAAACAUUACUUUGUCUAAUAUACGAGCCAAUGAACUCACAAAUUCAUGUAGAUUAUUUUUGUUAAACCAAUCAAUACUUGCAUUGUUUCAAGCUAUUUGACCUUUACUUUGUCAGAAAAUGGUGUAUUGUUGUGAAAAUAAUGACCUUUUGUGCAAGAAACUAAUAAAAACAAAUAGAUAAAGGAGGCUAUUUAUUUUGUCAGAGCCAUAGAGACACUUGGCUGAUUGUGAGUUGAACGUUAUCCCCCACCAACCAACGGGCUGGGCUGUUAUAGCCUGACACUUUCACUUUCUGAUUACUAGAAAUCAGGAGGACGUUUCAAGAGUGAAAGUACCGACACAGAUGUGUUUACAUAAAUUAAGAUUAUAUUACUUUUGAUCUGGUAUUUGACGACCCUCUCGGCCAACCCUGAUUGGGACUAGUUUGUUUAUUAUCUGUGUUGGUUGACGUCGUGACAGUAUUAGGCGUGUCAGUAUUUGACGUCCCACUCAGUCAACACUCAUCUAAACAGUGACUGUUUCUCUGUGGGUCUUACCUGGCAGCGUAAUAAAGGUUGAUAAACAGCAGCGGAUCAGAGCAGAGGACAGCAAAUCCUGUUUCCCUACAGCAGCAUCAGUGUGACAAGUAUGAGUCAGGCAAGGACAAUGAGUUUGGAAAAGCCAAACAGGAGCCUCUCACCAGAUGCAGCAUGUGCCCUUACAAGUAAGCAAAGAUUUACAUGAUCUGGGUCCCAAUUAACUUGUGGUAACCACCUGUUGUAGGAUAUCAAAGAGUCUGAGAGCAGUAGGCUAUUGCAAUAAUCUUAUAUUUAUUUAACACAUCUACAUUUCAAGGGAAGGGGAACAAUGGGCAUCUUGGCAAAAARGAAGUGUCUGAAAAGGUUAGGUCGACUAGCUAUCAGUUUUCAAUGGUCGUGGUGCUGUCCAUGGUGCUAAAUGGUUGUCGCCGGUAUAGAGAGCAAUCGUAAUGGCGUCUUUUUGUAGGCAUUAACUCCGCCAUCGUUCGUUGGACAAAGCUUAUUGGGAAAUAAAUUGAGUUUUUUUGUAGGCAUUUUGAAUAAAAGCUGAAAUAAGGUCUGUGGUAAACACAGGCCCAGGAGAUCUUCUACAUUUAUACAAAAGAUCUCCUAAGCCUGUGUUAACCUCAGAA
rnacentral:lncRNA from 1 species